CUUGAUUAAGUAUAUAACCAUAAUGAUAAGGUUACAAGUUCGAAAAUUUACAUAAACAGAUUACAGUAUUAUCAGCUGCAGUUGUAGAACUUGAAUCCUUAUCCUUGUCUGGUUAGAAUUCAGACUUCCCUCCAACAGCUCCAACAUCCCAGGAUUGCCAGACAGCAUUUACUUCUACAUCCGAGGAUAAUGCCGACAAACCUCCAAACUGAGUCAUACGGCUGGGGUUGCAGGGCUUGCAACCGGGAGCACGUACUCAUCUCAAACAUGUCCGCACCAAAGGCUGAAACUAAGCAAAUGAAG
rnacentral:lncRNA from 1 species